rnacentral:rRNA from 1 species
GACGAACGCUGGCGGCGUGCUUAACACAUGCAAGCCGAACGAUGAAGAAAAGAAUCGAAGCUUCGGCAGAAAUUCAUUUCGGAUUAGUGGCAGACGGGUGAGUAACGCGUGAGCAACCUACCUCUUACAAAGGGAUAGCCUCGGGAAACCGGGAUUAAUACCAUAUAACAUUGCGACGAAGCAUUUCGAUGCAAUCAAAGCUACGGCGGUAAGAGAUGGGCUCGCGUCCCAUUAACCGGAUGGUGAGGUAACGGCUCACCAUAGUGACGAUGGGUAACCGGCCUGAGAGGGUGAACGGUCACACUGGAACUGAGACACGGUCCAGACUCCUACGGGAGGCAGCAGUGGGGAAUAUUGCACAAUGGAGGGAACUCUGAUGCAGCGACGCCGCGUGAGUGAUGAAGGAAUUCGUUUCGUAAAACUCUGUUCUAUGGGAAGAAAAGGACUGUACCAUAGGAGAAAGCUCCGGCUAAAUACGUG